CUAAACUGAGGGAGGUACGUCGAAACUGACCGGCUAGAGGGACGUAGAGGUAAGCGGAACUCUCGGAGUAGCGGCGAAAUGCGUAGAGACCGAGAGGUACCCCGAUGGUGAAGACAGCUUACUGGGCGUCUCCUGACGCUGAAGCGCUAAGGCCAGGGGAGCGAAGGGGAUUAGAUACCCCCGUAGUCCUGGCUUCAAACGAUGUGGGCUUGGUGUCGGCCCCCUAUAGAGGGUCGUUGCCGGAGUUAACGCGUUAAGCCCACCGCCUGGGGAUUACGUCCGCAAGGAUGAAACUCAAGGGAAUUGACGGGGGCCCACACAACCGGUGGAGCACGUGGUUUAAUUCGAUGAUAAGCGAAGAACCUUACCAGGGCUUGACCUAGCGGUAGUAGAACCCCGAAAGGGGAACGACCUCAAGCUUUGCUUGAGGAGCC
rnacentral:rRNA from 1 species